AAAACGAACCAGGUGUGUAACGAA
rnacentral:siRNA from 1 species